UUAAAUGUUUUGUUUUAACUGUUUGCUUGA
rnacentral:piRNA from 1 species